AGCCCGAUAGCGCACGGUGCGCGCCCACGCUCAUUAUCUGACGCGAAUAAUAGUACCUGUGGGAUCCCCUGUUCGACUCAGGGUCGGGCUA